AAUAACUUAUAAAUUAAUAAAAUUAAUUUUAAAAUUAAUUAAAAUUUAAGUAAUAAUAAAAAAAAAUUAAAAUUUUAUAAAAAAAUAGUAUUGUUAAAGAAAUUUGAAAUAUAAAUGAAAAUAAAUUUAUUAAAAAGUAGUUUUAAAUUAAUGUAUCUUGUGUAUCAGAGUUUAUUAAUUUUUUUUUAGUAAAGAAAAUUCGAAAUUAAAAGAGAAAAUUAAUUAAGAAAUUUAAUGUUUUAAAAUUAUUUUAAAUAAUUAAUUUGAAAUUAAAUGUUAAUCGUUUUUAAUAAUAUCUAAUUUUUUUAGAAAAUAAUUUAAUUUUAAAUUAUUUCAAAUUAUUUAAAAUUAAAUUAAAUAAUUUUAAUAAUAAAUAAUUAAAUAUUAUAGGGGAUAAGCUUUAUUUUAAAUUUUUUUAUAAAAACAAUAAAAUAAAUUUAAAAAUUUUAAAAUUUUUAUUAUUUAAAAAAUAUAAUUUGUUAUAAAAUAAUUUUAGUAAAAAAAAAAUUUAAUUUUUUUUUAAUUUUUUAUAAAAAAAUUAUAAUUUAAAAUAAUAAAUUUAUUUAUAAUGAUAAAAUUAGUAAAUUUUAGUUUUUAAAAAUAAAUAAAUUAAAAAUUAAUUUAAAAGAAUUCAGCAAAUUAAUACAUUCACCUGUUUAACAAAAACAUGUCUUUUAGAAAAUAAUUUAAAGUCAAAUCUGCCCACUGAAUUUAAUUUGAAGGGCUGCAGUAAAUUGACUGUACUAAGGUAGCAUAAUCAGUAGUCUCUUAAUUAGUGACUUGUAUGAAUGAUUUAAUGAAAUGUAAACUGUUUCUAAAUUAAAAAUUGAAAUUAAUUUUUUAAUUAAAAAGUUAAAAUGAAAUUAAAAGACGAGAAGACCCUAUAGAGUUUUAUGAUUGGAUUUAUUAAAAUUUAUUUUUAAUAAUAUUAUGAAAUAAAUUUAAUUAUUAUAUUGGGGUGAUGGAAAAAUUAAAAAAACUUUUUUUUUUAAUAUAUAUAUAUAUAUAUAUAUAUAUAUAUAUAUAUACAUUAAUAAAUGAAUUGUAUGAUCCAUUAAUUUUGAUUAAAAGAAAAAAUUACCUUAGGGAUAACAGCGUAAUUUUUUUUUUUAGUUUCGAAUAAAAAAAAAAGUUUGCGACCUCGAUGUUGGAUUAAGAUAAAAUUUAGAAGUAAAAAGUUUAAAUAUUUGAUCUGUUCGAUCAUUAAAAUCUUACAUG
rnacentral:rRNA from 1 species